rnacentral:rRNA from 1 species
GACGAACGCUGGCGGCGUGCCUAAUACAUGCAAGUAGAACGCUGAAGGAGGAGCUUGCUCUUCUGGCUGAGUUGCGAACGGGUGAGUAACGCGUAGGUAACCUGCCUGGUAGCGGGGGAUAACUAUUGGAAACGAUAGCUACUACCGUAUAACAGUAGAUGUUGCAUGACAUUUGCUUAAAAGGUGCAAUUGCAUCACUACCAGAUGGACCUGCGUUGUAUUAGCUAGUUGGUGGGGUAACGGCUCACCAAGGCGACGAUACAUAGCCGACCUGAGAGGGUGAUCGGCCACACUUGGACUGAGACACGGCCCAGACUCCUACGGGAGGCAGCAGGAGGGAAACUUCGGCAAUGGACGGAAGUCUGACCGAGCAACGCCGCGUGAGUGAAGAAGGGUUUCGGAUCGUAAAGCUCUGUUGUAAGAGAAGAACGAGUGUGAGAGUGGAAAGUUCACACUGUGACGGUAUCUUACCAGAAAGGGACGGCUAACUACGUG